ensembl:snoRNA
AAGACUAUACUUUCAGGGAUCAUUUCUAUAGUUUUUAACUAGGAAAUGUGUUUCGAAAGUGUUGCGUCUCCCAAACCACGAUGAUGAGUGAAAGUGUGCUCCUCUGAGCGUGAAUCGGAUGAGAAUCUAUGAUUUAAUCACGGAUUUUUAUCAUUGAUGAACGUUCACUGAUUCUUUCUGAAUCUUUGAGGAGGAGUGCAUGAUCCGAGUGGUU